GACCCUCUGCGCGCACGCUGGCCGAGCGCCGUAUAUAGUGGAGUGGGAGGCGUGCGCUCGUCAAAGUGAAUUCAACAUUCGCCGCGAAUACACGUACUCGUACAACUUUCCCACAAAAUGUAUACCAACCCAUUCGAGAGAAAGCACUCCUCGCUCCGGCAGGCCCUUGACCGCUUCAUCGGCGAAACCCGGCUCAGCUUCAAAAAGAAAAUCAACAUGGCCAAGUCGAAGAGUUCGUCCAGUGCGUCCUCGGUUUCAUCAUCAUCAUCGUUCUCGUCGUUGCAAUUCAAACCGAAUUCUAACGGGAAGAGGUGAAGGACUGUGUGAUGUGUGUGGUUACCAGUGAUCUCGAAACGAGCGCCACUUCGAAAACAGGCUGAGUGGUGCGACCGGUCGAUUGACGUCAUGGCUGCGCCGACGACACAGAAAAUGGACACCUACAUCCAGUCAAUUUGGAAGAAUCAUUAAAUAAACGUAUCAUUAAUUGCAUA